rnacentral:rRNA from 1 species
GAUUAAGUUAUUAAGGGCGCACGGUGGAUGCCUUGGCACUAGAAGCCGAAGAAGGACGUUACUAACGACGAUAUGCUUUGGGGAGCUGUAAGUAAGCGUUGAUCCAGAGAUUUCCGAAUGGGGAAACCCAACAUGAGUUAUGUCAUGUUAUCGAUAUGUGAAUACAUAGCAUAUCAGAAGGCAGACCCGGAGAACUGAAACAUCUUAGUACCCGGAGGAAGAGAAAGAAAAAUCGAUUCCCUGAGUAGCGGCGAGCGAAACGGGAAGAGCCCAAACCAACAAGCUUGCUUGUUGGGGUUGUAGGACACUCUAUACGGAGUUACAAAAGUAUAUAUUAGACGAAUCAUCUGGAAAGUUGAAUCAAAGAAGGUAAUAAUCCUGUAGUCGAAAAUAUAUACUCUCUUGAGUGGAUCCUGAGUACGACGGAGCACGUGAAAUUCCGUCGGAAUCUGGGAGGACCAUCUCCUAAGGCUAAAUACUCUCUAGUGACCGAUAGUGAACCAGUACCGUGAGGGAAAGGUGAAAAGUACCCCGGAAGGGGAGUGAAAGAGAACUUGAAACCGUGUGCUUACAAGUAGUCAGAGCCCGUUAAUGGGUGAUGGCGUGCCUUUUGUAGAAUGAACCGGCGAGUUACGAUUUGAUGCAAGGUUAAGCAGUGAAUGUGGAGCCGUAGCGAAAGCGAGUCUGAAUAGGGCGUUGAGUAUUUGGUCGUAGACCCGAAACCAGGUGAUCUACCCUUGGUCAGGUUGAAGUUCAGGUAACACUGAAUGGAGGACCGAACCGACUUACGUUGAAAAGUGAGCGGAUGAACUGAGGGUAGCGGAGAAAUUCCAAUCGAACCUGGAGAUAGCUGGUUCUCUCCGAAAUAGCUUUAGGGCUAGCCUCAAGUGAUGAUUAUUGGAGGUAGAGCACUGUUUGGACGAGGGGCCCUUCUCGGGUUACCGAAUUCAGACAAACUCCGAAUGCCAAUCAAUUUAACUUGGGAGUCAGAACAUGGGUGAUAAGGUCCGUGUUCGAAAGGGAAACAGCCCAGACCACCAGCUAAGGUCCCAAAAUAUAUGUUAAGUGGAAAAGGAUGUGGCGUUGCCCAGACAACUAGGAUGUUGGCUUAGAAGCAGCCAUCAUUUAAAGAGUGCGUAAUAGCUCACUAGUCGAGUGACACUGCGCCGAAAAUGUACCGGGGCUAAACAUAUUACCGAAGCUGUGGAUUGUCCGUAGGACAAUGGUAGGAGAGCGUUCUAAGGGCGUUGAAGCAUGAUCGCAAGGACAUGUGGAGCGCUUAGAAGUGAGAAUGCCGGUGUGAGUAGCGAAAGACGGGUGAGAAUCCCGUCCACCGAUUGACUAAGGUUUCCAGAGGAAGGCUCGUCCGCUCUGGGUUAGUCGGGUCCUAAGCUGAGGCCGACAGGCGUAGGCGAUGGAUAACAGGUUGAUAUUCCUGUACCACCUAGUAUCGUUUUAAUCGAUGGGGGGACGCAGUAGGAUAGGCGAAGCGUGCUAUUGGAUUGCACGUCCAAGCAGUAAGACUGAGUGUUAGGCAAAUCCGGCACUCAUAAGGUCAAGCUGUGAUGGGGAGAGGAAAUUGUUUCCUCGAGUCGUUGAUUUCACACUGCCAAGAAAAGCCUCUAGAUAGAUAACAGGUGCCCGUACCGCAAACCGACACAGGUAGUCAAGAUGAGAAUUCUAAGGUGAGCGAGCGAACUCUCGUUAAGGAACUCGGCAAAAUGACCCCGUAACUUCGGGAGAAGGGGUGCUCUUUAGGGUUAACGCCCAGAAGAGCCGCAGUGAAUAGGCCCAAGCGACUGUUUAUCAAAAACACAGGUCUCUGCUAAACCGCAAGGUGAUGUAUAGGGGCUGACGCCUGCCCGGUGCUGGAAGGUUAAGAGGAGUAGUUAGCUUCUGCGAAGCUACGAAUCGAAGCCCCAGUAAACGGCGGCCGUAACUAUAACGGUCCUAAGGUAGCGAAAUUCCUUGUCGGGUAAGUUCCGACCCGCACGAAAGGCGUAACGAUUUGGGCACUGUCUCAACGAGAGACUCGGUGAAAUCAUAGUACCUGUGAAGAUGCAGGUUACCCGCGACAGGACGGAAAGACCCCGUGGAGCUUUACUGUAGCCUGAUAUUGAAAUUCGGCACAGCUUGUACAGGAUAGGUAGGAGCCUUUGAAACGUGAGCGCUAGCUUACGUGGAGGCAUUGGUGGGAUACUACCCUAGCUGUGUUGGCUUUCUAACCCGCACCACUUAUCGUGGUGGGAGACAGUGUCAGGUGGGCAGUUUGACUGGGGCGGUCGCCUCCUAAAAGGUAACGGAGGCGCUCAAAGGUUCCCUCAGAAUGGUUGGAAAUCAUUCAUAGAGAGUAAAGGCAUAAGGGAGCUUGACUGCGAGACUUACAAGUCGAGCAGGGUCGAAAGACGGACUUAGUGAUCCGGUGGUUCCGCAUGGAAGGGCCAUCGCUCAACGGAUAAAAGCUACCCCGGGGAUAACAGGCUUAUCUCCCCCAAGAGUUCACAUCGACGGGGAGGUUUGGCACCUCGAUGUCGGCUCAUCGCAUCCUGGGGCUGUAGUCGGUCCCAAGGGUUGGGCUGUUCGCCCAUUAAAGCGGUACGCGAGCUGGGUUCAGAACGUCGUGAGACAGUUCGGUCCCUAUCCGUCGUGGGCGUAGGAAAUUUGAGAGGAGCUGUCCUUAGUACGAGAGGACCGGGAUGGACAUACCUCUGGUGUACCAGUUGUCGUGCCAACGGCAUAGCUGGGUAGCUAUGUAUGGACGGGAUAAGUGCUGAAAGCAUCUAAGCAUGAAGCCCCCCUCAAGAUGAGAUUUCCCAACUUCGGUUAUAAGAUCCCUCAAAGAUGAUGAGGUUAAUAGGUUCGAGGUGGAAGCGUGGUGACACGUGGAGCUGACGAAUACUAAUCGAUCGAAGACUUAAUCAA